GGGGUUGUAGCUUAGAGGUAGAGCUGCUUGCCUAGCAUGUGUGAGGCCCUGGGUUCGAUUCUCAGCACCUCA
rnacentral:tRNA from 1 species